rnacentral:lncRNA from 1 species
GGUCUUGUCUCUGCUGGUGGGUUGACAUCUCGGUCCUAGGGUCCAGUGGCCUGGGUCUCGGAGAGGCAGACCAGUGUUUCCUGCGCCCCCUGCGAUGGCACCUGCGUGAGAGGGCGGAGUCAGGGACUGUGCUCUGCGGGGCCCCUCUCCUCGGCAGGUCCUGAAAAUCUGGGCCCUAGAAGAGCGAGUAUAUACACACCCCCACCACCACUUCCACCACCCACCCUAAACAUCCCCGAAGAAAGGUAACCACAGAAACAGCCAUAAAUGUGGAGCUGGCGUUAGUGUUAGGCUGAGACAAACUGUCUUCCGAGCGUCUCUAGGGAGAACUCAAAUCCUCCUCCACAAAAACACGGUGAAUGGGAAAAGCAAACCCAGAGGGAGUCAGUCUCCUAGUGGCCCUGCUGCCAGGAUUAAAUGCGAGACCAGCAGCCAGGAUCAUUGCAGCGGCUUCCUGCAGCAUAUCCACGCAGAGGGUAGGGUUACAGCUGAGGAGACCUCUGUCAGAGGCCCAGCCCAGGCCCAUCAGCUGGUGACUGCAGAGACUGGACCACUCCAGGCAGGUUCUUUUCUGCUGGGGUCACACAUCCGACCCCACUUCUCACUCGGGUUGCAAUCAGUUCAAUGCAAAUUGGAGGCCAUGGGGAGGAGUUCAGCCAGGGGUUCAGGAACCCCGGCCUGUUCCAUCUCAAGAUUCUACCACCGUCCUUCAGCACUUCGGAGGCCUCCACUGGCCUCUCCACUUCU